GAUGAACGCUGGCGGCGUGCCUAAUACAUGCAAGUCGAGCGAACGGACGAGAAGCUUGCUUCUCUGAUGUUAGCGGCGGACGGGUGAGUAACACGUGGAUAACCUACCUAUAAGACUGGGAUAACUUCGGGAAACCGGAGCUAAUACCGGAUGAUAUUUUGUACCGCAUGGUUCAAAAGUGAAAGACAGUUUUGCUGUCACUUAUAGAUGGAUCCGCGCUGCAUUAGCUAGUUGGUAAGGUAACGGCUUACCAAGGCAACGAUGCAUAGCCGACCUGAGAGGGUGAUCGGCCACACUGGAACUGAGACACGGUCCAGACUCCUACGGGAGGCAGCAGUAGGGAAUCUUCCGCAAUGGGCGAAAGCCUGACGGAGCAACGCCGCGUGAGUGAUGAAGGUCUUCGGAUCGUAAAGCUCUGUUACUAGGGAAGAACAUAUGUGUAAGUAACUGUGCACAUCUUGACGGUACCUAAUCAGAAAGCCACGGCUAACUACGUG
rnacentral:rRNA from 1 species